GAUGAAGAACGCAGCGAAAUGCGAUAAGUAAUGUGAAUUGCAGAAUUCAGUGAAUCAUCGAAUCUUUGAACGCACAUUGCGCCCAUUGUAUUCUAGUGGGCAUGCCUGUUCGAGCGUCAUUAAGUCCACUUAAGCCCUGCUUAGUGUUGGGAGACUGCUCCAGCGGUGCUACCCUGUAGCUACCCUGCAGCUCCUCAAAGACAGCGGCGGAGUUGUGGUAUCCUCUGAGCUUAGUAACUUGUUCUAGCUUUCGAGUACACCACUUCCCCUGCCGUAAAACCCUUAAUUUUUAAUGGUUGACCUCGGAUCAGGUAGGAAUACCCGCUGAACUUAAGCAUAUCAAUAAGCGGAGGA
rnacentral:misc_RNA from 1 species